rnacentral:rRNA from 1 species
UACGUAGGGGGCUAGCGUUGUCCGGAUUUAUUGGGCGUAAAGAGCGUGUAGGCGGCCAGGUAGGUCUGAUGUGAAAACUCGAGGCUUAACCUCGAGAUGUCAUCGGAAACCAUCUGGCUAGAGUCCGGAAGAGGAGAGUGGAAUUCCUGGUGUAGCGGUGAAAUGCGCAGAUAUCAGGAAGAACACCAAUGGCGAAAGCAGCUCUCUGAGACGGUACUGACGCUGAGACGCGAAAGCGUGGGGAGCGAACAGG